UACGGGGGGGCAAGCGUUGUUCGGAAUUACUGGGCGUAAAGGGCGCGUAGGCGGCCUGCUAAGUCGGACGUGAAAUCCCUCGGCUCAACCGAGGAACUGCGUCCGAUACUGGUGGGCUUGAAUCCGGGAGAGGGAUGUGGAAUUCCAGGUGUAGCGGUGAAAUGCGUAGAUAUCGGGAGGAACACCGGUGGUGAAGGCGGUUCUCUGGGCCUUACCUGACGCUGAGGAGCGAAAGCGUGGGGAGCAAACAGG
rnacentral:rRNA from 1 species